AUUCGAUUGCCGUGGUUGUAACCAUUGACUGCUGACUAGUAACAUUCGAGAGUCGUGUCUCGUUGGAUAGAUUAUAGAUCGCGCUGCACGUUUCCGUAACAAUUCUUUUGCUGGCGGUACCGUAAUCAAGCAAAAUGACGGAAGGUGCUGUUACGAUUAGAACCAGAAAAUUCAUGAGCAAUCGGUUAUUAUGCCGAAAACAAAUGGUUGUGGAUGUAUUUCAUCCAGGACAUUCAUCAGUACGAAAAACAGAAAUACGUGAAAAAUUAGCUAAAAUGUACAAAGUUAUGCCAGAUGUAGUUUUUGUGUUCGGUUUCCAAACUAAUUUUGGUGGUGGGAAAUCAACUGGAUUUGCACUGAUCUAUGAUACAUUGGAUUUUGCAAAAAAAUUUGAACCUAAAUACAGGUUAGCUAGGCAUGGACUAUUUGAAAAACAAAAACAGACAAGAAAGCAGCGAAAAGAACGUAAAAACAGAAUGAAGAAGGUUAGGGGUACAAAGAAGAGUAAAGUAGGAGCUGCAUCUAAAAAGGGAAGGAAGUAGUCAAAUGGUCAUCAUUUGUACUACAAGCUUGAAGAGGGAACUUAAUUAUGAUGCUCAUAUAUGUAAAUCCAUAAGACAUCAUGAAGGGCCACGAUUUGUUCAACAGGGACGUAAAAAUUAUUAUAAUCAUUUAUUGCCCCAGAUAAUUAUAAUAAAUUUUAUGGAAUAAAAGUGUACUCUUCUCGAUGGAAA